AUUGAACGCUGGCGGCAUGCCUUACACAUGCAAGUCGAACGGCAGCACGGGUGCUUGCACCUGGUGGCGAGUGGCGAACGGGUGAGUAAUACAUCGGAACGUACCUUAUCGUGGGGGAUAACGCAGCGAAAGCUGUGCUAAUACCGCAUACGCCCUGAGGGGGAAAGCGGGGGAUCGAAAGACCUCGCGCGAUUAGAGCGGCCGAUGCCUGAUUAGCUUGUUGGUGGGGUAAAAGCCCACCAAGGCGACGAUCAGUAGCUGGUCUGAGAGGACGAUCAGCCACACUGGGACUGAGACACGGCCCAGACUCCUACGGGAGGCAGCAGUGGGGAAUUUUGGACAAGGGGGGCAACCCUGAUCCAGCAAUGCUGCGGGAGUGAAGAAGGCCUCCGGGUUGUAAAGCUCUUUUGUCAGGGAAGAAACACCGGCUCUAACACAGUCCGGGAAUGACGGUACCUGAAGAAUGAGCACCGGCUAACUACGUGCCAGCAGCCGCCGUAA
rnacentral:rRNA from 1 species